rnacentral:rRNA from 1 species
UGAAUACGAGACGCUAAGGCGUCGAAGUAGUGUAUGUCAUACUUCCAAGAAAAGCUUGCACUGUCAUAGAUAAAAAACGCCUGUACCAUAACCGACACAGGUGGGUAGGUAGAGUAUACUAAGGGGCGCGAGAUAACUCUCUCUAAGGAACCCGGCAAAAUAACUCCGUAACUUCGGGAGAAGGAGUGCCUUAUUCGUAAGGUUGCAAUAACAAGAUCCAAGCAACUGUUUAUCAAAAACACAGGUCUCCGCUAAGUCGUAAGACGAUGUAUGGGGGCUGACGCCUGCCCAGUGCCAGAAGGUUAAAGAAGUUGGUUAGCAAUUGCGAAGCUGAUAACUGAAGCCCUGGUGAACGGCGGCCGUAACGAUAACGGUCCUAAGGUAGCGAAACUCCUUGUCGGGUAAGUUCCGACCCGCACGAAAGGCGUAAUGAUUUGGAUACUGUCUCGGAGAGGGGCUCGGUGAAAUAGACUUGUCUGUGAAGAUGCGGACUACCUGCACCAGGACAGAAAGACCCUAUGAAGCUUUACUGUAACUUGAAAUUGAAAUUGGACUUUAUUCGCGCAGUAUAGGUGGGAGGCGUUGAUUAUAAUCUUGUGGGAUUAUUGGAGCCAUCAGUGAGAUACCACUCCUGUAAUGUUAGAUUUCUAACUUUGAAUCAUUAUCUGGUCAAAGAACAGUUUCAGGCGGGCAGUUUGACUGGGGCGGUCGCCUCCUAAACGGUAACGGAGGCGUACAAAGGUUUCCUCUGAACGGUUAGAAAUCGUAUCUAGAGUGUAAAGGCAUAAGGAAGCUUGACUGUGAGACCUACAAGUCGAGCAGGGACGAAAGUCGGUCUUAGUGAUCUGACGGUACUGAGUGGAAAGGCCGUCACUCAACGGAUAAAAGUUACUCUAGGAUAACAGGCUGAUCUCCCCCAAGAGUUCACAUCGACGGGGAGGUUUGGCACCUGGAUGUCGGCUCAUCGCAUCCUGGGGCGGUAGUACGUCCCAAGGGUUGGGCUGUUCGCCCAUGAAAGCGGUACGCGAGCUGGGUUCAGAACGUCGUGAGACAGUUCGGUCCAUAUCCGGUGUAGGCGUUAGAAUAUUGAGAGGAGCCUUCUUUAGUACGAGAGGACCGAGAAGGACAUACCUCUGGUGUACCAGUUAUCGUGCCAACGGUAAACGCUGGGUAGCUAUGUAUGGAGUGGAUAACCGCUGAAAGCAUCUAAGUGGGAAGCCCACCUCAAGAUAAGUAUUCUCAAC